CAACAACUACAUUACCUCCACACUUGUUCUCAGGGGCCUAUCAUCCAUGGGGACCUGAAAUCAAGCAGCAUUUUGUUAGAUGAGAAAUGGGUUGCCAAAGUUUCGGGUUUGGAAGCACCCAAGUUAGAGUUAUACCGUAACAAUGUGACUACAACUCUUUUUAGUCAUGUUAUCAUGAAGACGCAUGCAUACAAGGAUCCUGAGUACUUAAUAAGUGGACACCUAACUACCAAAUCUGAUGUGUACUCAUUUGGUGUAGUAUUGUUGGAAGUACUUUGUGCUGUGGAACCUUAUAGUCCUCAUCUAGCCAGGGGUGACACCUAUCUAACGCACCGGUUUAAGCGCCGCAUUCGACGGAGAACCAUUGAACCGAUUAUUGAUCGAUAUCUGGUGGGGAAGAUAGUACCCAAAAGUUUGGGGGCAUAUGUCAAGAUUGCAGAAUGCUGCUUGGGUUUCCGUGGAGAUGAGCGGCCAGCAAUGAAUACUGUGGUGCAGAGCUUGCAGCAAGCAUUGCAGCUGCAGGAGACAGACGAAAAAUCAUACAAGUUUAUUAAGCCUGGUGAUCCUCCAGAGAAAAUCCACGAGGCUGCCUAUAGAGCUUACACGAGGGUUUUAUAAGGCAUGCCUUGAUGAAGAAACUAGAGAAUGGAUGGGGAGUGAAAAAAAUAAGAUCAAUGUUUGGUAUUAGUGUUGAAACAGGAUAUAUUUCUUGCCGCAUUUUUCAUUCUGAGAAUUACACACACACACACAUUUGCGCUUGUAAACUUUACCGUAUUAAUGUGGAAAAUAACAUGGCUCCAAACAUUGUUAUAGUGACACUUAGUUAUUGGCAUGGUAAUUGGUCAGACUUACUGUGUUGCAAAAGAAUAGAAAUAAGAGCAGCGAUAUAAACUUAUGACAGUUGCUGCCCUUGUCGUCGCCAUUUACUUGCUCAUGAUGUAGUAGUAGAGAGAAUUAUCAAUCCCUUUGACAGGUAUAGAUGAGUCAACUUCAAACAAUCACUGCCUCUCCCCGAACAGUUAUCAAAAAUGUUGAUUGAGCCCGAAAGAAUCCGCUGGAUUUGUUGACGUGAUUGGCAAAGGGAGGAAGGGAGCUUCUUCAGACGUUACUGCCCGAGCUUGUUAUGGCAGGCUGCUCUCCCAGCUCAAGACCAAUCCUCAUCUUUCUAGCAUUUAGAGUCAUCUGUUGCAGGUUUUACCCUGCUGUGCACAAAACUCUCCUUACAAAAGUAGCACGUAUGCUGUGUUACUCGUUUGUCCCCAUUGGUUGCAUCCUUUACCGGCUUCUACACAAACUAAUGUGGAUCGCUUACUUGGAAGCCAGGAUCAGGAUAAAAGGUCAACCGAGCAACUAACUCAUUUGGAGACCAGUUCAUGAGAGACGCCGUCUUCGUGGGUGAAGCUUUCAAACUCAACAAAGUGCUUCGAUAGCACAUACUUGAAUAUGGCUAAUAUAUCCGUUCUAUCAAGCUCUAGGACACGGUUCAAGGGGCUGUUGGUGAUCCUGCAGUGUGCUUUUGGCUCAUAUAACAACAUCCUGUCCGUUGAAAUACAGAGUUUCAAGCUAGGAGUUUUCUACAUCCAUGAAGAUGUGCAAAAUCUCAAGGUGGUCUUGGCUGAUGAGGGUAUGCCAGGUGCAUUUGGAUGGAGCAGAAUAGGAAGAUAUUUUAGGAGACAAGCUGCCAGUUCAUUGAGAAAAAUCUAUUUUGUUCCAUAUCCUCCAUUUUCGUUGUCAAGGCAUUUUUGUAUUUCUUUUGCUCCAAUAAUUUAACACACAACUUUAUCUUCGUGGAGAGGACUACUUUCUUCCAUAUGUGCACAGAGG